ACCAACUAAAGGUACUACAUUUGAGACACAUGAAGAUAUUUCUACAGCGAACAAGAUAACUGACUACAUAUAAGCUACAAAGGAAAUCAAGAAAAGGAUCCAGGGGAUAUAGACAAUAAUAUAGUCUAAAACCCUAUAAAAAGAAGAAAGAAAGAAAGAAAGGUAAAUUUAAUUUGUACUACAUGGCGGUGAGAAACUGAAACUAUACUGGAAAAAGUGCAUCUUCGAACCAGCCACAUUCACCAAGAAAAUUAGAUCUUGUAAUAUGUAGCCUAUGGGAAAGUCUUAGAUAAGUAACGAAAGAAAAACUUUGAAAUGGUGAAUAUGAAAUUGAUAAGAUUCUUAUGUUAAAAAGAGGGAAUUGUCUAUAAUUAAUUUCCUCUUCUUUUAUAGGGUCUCAGACUUUUGAAAUCUAUAUUCCCUGGAUCUGUGCUUCUUGAUUUUCCUUUGUUGAUUGGAUUUUUUUUUUUUUUUAUUAUAUCUAUUAGUUCUGUUCUUUGUAAGAAUAUCUUCAGGUCUCUUAAUAUGUAGUAUUUCUUAGCUGGUGUUUGCUCUCCUCCUGUUAUUAAAAUAUUUUAUUUGGAUUUUUUUUUUUCUUUUUUUUGAUAAUUCAAAUAAUUUUACUCUGUGAUAGUUAAAUCUUGGGCACUGGAGUGUUAGGUAUUCCAUAGUUUCUUGUUCAUAUUGGCACCAUCUGCAUGUUCGAUCUGUUUCCAUUUUUAGUUUAUGUAGAUGUUGUUUUAGUCUUGUGUGUUAUUUUUAUAUGUGUUAAACAUCUAGUUUUCUGUUGUUGUUUUUUUCUUGACCAUUAAUUUGGUUUGUUGUCUUUGAUGUCGUAGUUUCUUGUGUUUAGUAUUUCUGUUAGUUUUUCUUCCCAUGUUUUUCUGUUUUUGUUUUUUUAUUUCUUUUAUCAGAUUGUUAAUGUCUCUUGUUAUAGCAGUGGGAUUUGUUAUUUCAUGUGCUUUUUUUGCUGCUUGGUCUAUUAUUUCAUUGCCUCUGAUACCUUUAUGUGAUGAUAUCCAUUGUAGUUUGAUAUUUUGUUUCUGUUUUGAUAAUGUGUGUAUUGUCUGUUGUAUUUCUUAGGUGAUUUGUUUGUGUUUUUUAGGUCUGUGGUUGACUAUUAACUGUAAUGCUGAAUGGCAAUCUGUGAAGAUUACAGCAUUUGUUAUUUUGUUGUUUUGAAUGUAUUCUAAUCCUUGUCUUAUUACAAAUAACUCUGUUUCAGUGAUAUUUGUAUUUUUUGGUAGCUUCCAGAUUGUUAUAAUGUUUGCAUAUUGAAUAUAUAUUGGUGCUGAAGUUGAAUUUGGUUCCUUUAUUUUAGAACCAUCAUUGAAGUUUUUCUGUUGUUCUCUAUAUGUUAUAAUUUCUAACAUUUGAAAAUAUUUUUUUAUUAUUUGUUCUGGAAGGUCUUUUGUUGGGUUUAUACAUAUUGUGAGAUGUCAUACCAUGGUGGUACUGGAGUUAUAUUCUGUAUUUUAUUAGUUAUUAUAUUGAUUCUGAAUACUUUAUAGGCUUCUAGUCCUCUGUAAGUUAAUAUUCUUUUGUCUUUUCUUGGAUUAUAUUCUUUGAUAUUAUUUAUUACAAUUUGUUUUAUUGGUUUGUUAUCUUGUUUCUCUAGUAUUUUUGCUAGCUGUAUAAUUUUUUUUUCUUUCUUAUUUCUAAUGGUAUAUUGUUAGUUAAUGCCUGAAGGAAUACUAUUGGGGUGGAUCAAAAACAACCAGUUGCUAUCCUUAGUGCUAAAUUUUGUACUGUUUUUAGUUUUUUUAGUUCACUUUUCUUUGCAUUUCCAUAAAUGGAUAUUCCAUAUUCUAUUUUAGGCUUGAUAAAUAUGUUAUAAAGUUUUAGUAGUGUUUCUUUAUUUGCUCCACAAGUGUACAAGGAUAGUUUUUCAUGAUAUCUAUUCUUUUUAAGGAUUUUAUUUUUAUAUUUUCAAUAUGCUCUCUCCAGUUGAGUCUUAGUGAAUUGAAUCUUAAUCGUAAUGUUUAUUUGUAAAAUCAAUUUCUUCAUUAUCUAUUUUUAUAUUAGGUAUAUUUUCUAUCAUUUUAUGUGUAAAACCCAUUAUUAUUAUUAUUAUUUUUUUUUAGUUUAUCUUCAGAUCCCAUUUGGUUGCCCAUUCUUUAAAAUGUUUCAAUGCUCUUUCUAGGCUAUUUGUUGCUUCUGUCAAGUAUUUGUUUAUGGUUAUUAAGGUUAUAUCCUCAGCA
rnacentral:lncRNA from 1 species